AGUUGUAUUGAUUUAGGUAGCAUGAUGAAAAGAUUGUCAUCUCAUAGUUAAUUUUAGCUUUAGCUUUUAAUAGCUACCUAAUAUGGUUUCAAUGUAGGCUUUGAUAAAACAUUUUUUUCACUAAUGCUGUGUUUAAAAAUGUUACUGUUGUUGGUUUGUAUUGUAAUGCUACUUUGUCGAGUACAAUUGGCUAAUCACCACGAUAAACUGUUUUAUACAUUAUGUCCAUUUCUGCGCUGAACCUGUGAACAUGUGAACAUGCUAACUGCCUCAUAGAGUGGAGCUGGAUUUCUGAUACAGAUAUUGAUUUCUGAUUACAAGGCAUCUUCUACUGUACCUGAUGUAGAAAAGACCCUUGAACUACCUGCAAUUCCUUGACUGAUACUUUUUGGAGAAAAACCAGGAAGCUACAUUCAUAAAUGGAUGGUCAGUUUUGAGGGGCAAAUAAUCUGAGAGAGCAUCCAGCCAAGUUUUCUGUCUGGUAUAGCUGCUGUGUUUUCAACUUACGACAUUUUCGAUGUGGAGAACCAAGCUGAGGCUGCAUGCACAUUGGAAUUAAUUCAGAGGAGCUUCAUUGGUAAACCCUAAGGCUCCAAGAGUGGACACAUCCUAUCGAAGGGAAUGGGGAAGGUCACCCACAAAAUGAAUUCAGUCAACACUAAGGUUGCCAGUUUACUUAAAGAAGCUAAUGGACUUUGAGUUGGAUGUCAUAUAAGCGUCCCCCCCCCCCCCCCCCA